rnacentral:lncRNA from 10 species
AGGCUACCGAGCUGCAGCUGACAGGCAGUCCGGCGGCGUCGGGUCUCCAUGGAUACGGGGGUGGGGCCAGGCGGCGGCGAGCGGCGGCGGGCGGGGCUUUUAACGGCCAUCGGCCCCUCCCAGCCUGGACAAAGACACAGAGCGCGGCCUGGGAGGCGGAGCUCUGCGGGCGGCCGGGGCCGCCUCCUUCCAGGCGCUGCUGCCCCAACACAGGCGGGCACUCUCUGCGGGUCCCGCGGCUCCCGCGGCUUCCGGCCCACUCAGCGCCUCCAGAGGCCUCAGAUUUCGCUGGGGAUGCUACUUGAUCUCUCUUCAGCCUCAGUUUCCUCACCUGGACAGUGGAGCUGAACCCACCCCCCACUAUCUGACCCUGCUCUCUGGGCUGUCUUUUGGGAACCCGCCCUGCUGAGGCCUGCUCCCCACCCUCCAUGGCUGUCAGCCCCCCAGGAGAAGAAUGUCUGCCAUAUGGAGGCUGCUGGCAGCAAAGGGAGAUGAACAAGCCAAGGUUGCCCGGCCUGCAUGCCGGCCCAGGGCUGCUGCUGUGUCUUGCCAUCAACCCUCCCCUGACACCCAGGAUGCCUGCCUCACCCAGAAGCACUCCUACGUCAGGCCUCUGAGGGGGAGCGCUUCAUGCCACUGUUAUCAAAAGAAGAAACCAUCGAAGCAGAAAGGCCAAUGCCACACUAGACAGCCAGGAGCCCAGCAGAACAAGUGGCCCCCUAAGGCACUUUGGGGACCACACCCCGCCACUGACCCCAGCACAGUCUGGUUCCCAGGGCUUCAGGAUCCUCCUGGGGACCUCUCAGCAUGAUUGACACAGGCAGACGGGACCUGAAGGGGCUGCUGGUCCUUCUGAAAAUGUUCACCAGGUAGUGUGAGUGUGGGGAAGCCAUGAACAAUGUGUGGGACUCUACCCUGCACCUGCUCAGAGCCUCAGCCCUUCAGAGCCACUACUAAUGAUUUGCUGUGGGUGGGGUCACCCUGAUACUUCUCUGAGGUGGCUUUUUCUUGCAGUUUUUCUGAGUAACUGACAGGAAUCCUUGACUGCAUGCCGCCUAAACUAGGGUGUGCACAGCCCUCGUUCUGUGCAAAGAGGGUGCAAAGCAGCAGAGUGUCUGUGACCCAUUUGCCACCUAAUGUUACUACAAGAUUUGCAAGAACCGGUCACUUAUCAGUAACCAUUUUUAUUUAAAAAGAUAAAAUAGAGCUUUGCAGGAAAGUGCUGCAGGCUCCCACGUUGCCGGGCAGACGACAACCUGGGCGCCUCGCCCAGCUCCUCCCCACAGCCAUUGGCAUCCACUGUCAGGUUUCAAUGUUCUUGGACCUCAGGGCCUUCGUCCUCUCCAAUCUAAAUGCAGAGAGACAUUUGACAUGGACUCUCUCAGGUGUUUUGCAAAAUGCAACACAUUCUCAUUGACUCUGGUCACUCUGCUGUGCACUACAUGUCAAAACCUCUUCCUCCUCCCUGAGACUUUGGUCCUUUAACUGACAACCCCCCUCCCAUUCCCUCCCUCUGCCACUCUCUGACCCCUGGUCACCAUCGAUCUACUUGCUACUUCUAUGGGGUCAACUUGUUUAGAUCAACACUUCUGGGACCUCACGUGGAAUUGGUCUCUCUGAGGUAGUGGAGAUGCUAAGUAGUGGGAUUUCCUCAUUCCACAUUGUACCCCAUGAAUGAAUACAAGCAUGAUUUGCCAAUUGAAGCAAUACAAUAAAGACAGAAG